rnacentral:sRNA from 1 species
GGGUGUGGGAGUGAUCUAGCUACAACAUCUGUCACCCAUUGAUUGCCAGGCUGGCUUCAUUAGUUCUGGCUGGCUAGGCUAGGGUCUCCUUCCUCCCUUACCUUUCCACGUGUAUCUUUCUCUAGCUGCAAACUGACAAAAAAGCAUCCUUCACUAAUAGUGUGGACCAUUCUUCAGAGAAGAUCAUACUUAUUAUUAGGGAAUAACUCCACUUGAUUCAAGAACCCCUUAAAUGAUCUCUU